UUCCUCAAGCUGGAUUUGAACCAGCGACCUAAGGAUCACUGCUAUACAUCUACAGUCCUCUGCUCUGCCAACUGAGCUAUCGAGGGA
rnacentral:tRNA from 1 species